rnacentral:tRNA from 1 species
GGAGUGGCUCAAUGGGUAGAGCACAGGACUGGCAUGCCUGAGACCCUGGGUUCAACCCCUGGCACCA